GAAGAGAGAAUUAUUUCAAGAUUUAGCUCCAUUGUUGUGGAAUUCUUUUCAUACUAUUGCUGCACUGUUACAGAACAAAAAGCCACAUUAUGACAAUAUGAUGAUGCAAAUGUUGAGUUAUAUCACCUCGCAAUCAGCCCAAUCUAGUAGUGAUCACUAAGCAUUAUUCUCAGUUUUGACUUCUCUUCUGAGAUUGAGAGUGAGAGAGUUCUGACUUAUUUGCUGAGAAAAACUGGGUCCAUUAUGGGCUUUGAAGUGAAGCUGUGGAGGUUUUGGAGUACUGGUUAAGGUUGAAGUUGAGGAUAUGGGACUAGGAAAGCGUGGAACUAUAGAAGUAGUUGCCAUUAUUAGUCAGUGUUUUUUUUUUUUUUUUUUUUUGAAUUUUGAAUUUUGAAGGGUGGGAUGAGAUAAUGAGAUGGAUUUGGUAUUGGUUCCCCUUCCACUCUCUUGAUAUAGUCUUAUCCAUGUUGGAUGAGAGCUGAUGAUGACUUUGUGAUU